AGGAUUGUCUGCGCAGAUGCCAUCUUGAUCUCUCUAGAAAGGUUGGAUACAAGUAAGAGAGGAGAAGAGGGAGAGAAAGUGCCAAAGCCAGCACUUUGAAGGGGAAAAAAAAAAGACUAGAAGUAAUCACUUAAAGAAAAGAAAAAAAAAGCUUCACAGUUGGGCUCAUCCAGUCUGCCCUGCUGCUCUUCAGUCAUCUCUAAGCUGGCUCCAGGUGAGAUGUGCAGUGCUGGCAGAUGACGCCCUUCUCUCCAUCUGGGAACCUUUUCUGCACAAAUCUGAAGACCCAUUCUUGGCUGAGGGCAGGAAGGAUAUGAAGGAGCUUUCCCCUAAAGUCUUGGACGUGACAUCUCAGCCAUAGUUCUUAUUGAAGAAACAUCAGUCACCACCCCGAAGCCUUAUUAGCUGAGGUUUGCAAUCCAGGUCAAAGUGAAUUGAGUUCAACCUACUGAGGGAAGAAGCCUGGAAUCUAAAGUAUUGAAUCAGAAGAAGCAUUGAAUCAGUGUCUGAACUGAAUCUUGGAAUUAGUACGCGUAUUCCUACUGACAAGCUCUCCUAACUGAUGGCAUCAGUGAUUUCAGGAUCUUUUGAAGCAAAGCCAAAACUGAAUGAUAUGAUAUGUGCAUAACUGCCAUGAAACCACAGUGGUUCUGCCUUGAGUUCCGCUUUCCCCCUGUAGCACAAGAACUUGCUCAUGUCUUGACAUAUUGGCCAUGAAUACAUUGGCCAGCAUAAUUAUGACAACAUAGUACAGCUGAAUGAGAAGCUACUUGGAGAGGCACUUGGAAAGCAAAGAAUGUAGAUACAUAGCAACUGCAGCACUAUGGAAUUAAAGUCAACAGUAUCCAACUAUGGAAGAACAGGUGGCUGGGUAUGGAAGCAGUGGGAGAGGCUCACCUUUGGAAUGGAUAUCCAUCUCUGGACAGUAAAUUUACAUGAAACUUUUACUAGUAAAACUUGAAAGCUGACCACAGAAGACAAUGAAAAAGACGUAGAACAAGCCUGAUGUCCACUUCCCCCUCCUGCCUGUCAGCUAAUCAAGCCAAGUGUCACUUUACAGACAAUUUAAUCCCUUUGGUCAUGCUUUUUGUUUAAGUCAGGGCUAUUUGGGCUACAACUAAAGUUUUGACUGCUUCAACAUGACACCUUGCACAGACAUUGGCCCCAGGGAUGGCUGACUGACCCCCGACCUGGAACCCCUGCACCUGGGGCUCUCCCAGGCAUCCCUGCUCCAGAUGGAUGUUUUGAUCUCUGUAUGCGUUACUUUCCACAAGCUUCUCCCCUACUUUAGACAGGAUCAACCUGAUUUUAUCUGGAAGGUUUGCACCCUGACAGGUGCCACUGUUGAAUCUUGAGAAAUGUUGUCAGUGUGUCUUGCAAAA